rnacentral:rRNA from 1 species
UACGAAGGGGGCUAGCGUUGCUCGGAAUCACUGGGCGUAAAGGGUGCGUAGGCGGGUCUUUAAGUCAGGGGUGAAAUCCUGGAGCUCAACUCCAGAACUGCCUUUGAUACUGAGGAUCUUGAGUUCGGGAGAGGUGAGUGGAACUCCGGGAGUAGCGGUGAAAUGCGUAGAUACCCGGAGGAACACCAGUGGCGAAGGCGGCUUCCUGGUCUGCGACUGACGCUGUGGCGCGAAAGCUAGGGGAGCAAACGGG